rnacentral:rRNA from 1 species
UGGGGAAUCUUGCGCAAUGGGCGGAAGCCUGACGCAGCAACGCCGCGUGAGGGAAGACGGCCUUCGGGUUGUAAACCUCUUUCAGGGGGGACGAAGCUUCCGGGGUUAAUAGCCCACGGGGUGACGGUACCCCCAGAAGAAGCCCCGGCUAACUACGUGCCAGCAGCCGCGGUAAUACGUAGGGGGCGAGCGUUGUCCGGAAUCAUUGGGCGUAAAGCGCGUGUAGGCGGCUUGGUAAGUCCGGUGUGAAACCUUGGGGCUCAACCCCAAGCCUGCACUGGAUACUGCCUCGCUUGAGUCCGGGAGGGGAGAGCGGAAUUCCUAGUGUAGCGGUGAAAUGCGCAGAUAUUAGGAAGAACACCGGUGGCGAAGGCGGCUCUCUGGAACGGUACUGACGCUGAGACGCGAAAGCGUGGGGAGCGAACAGGAUUAGAUACCCCCGUAGUCC